UACGGAGGGAUGCGAGCGUUAUCCGGAAUCAUUGGGUUUGAAAGGGUGCGUAGGCUGGUAUUUAAGGUCAGUGGUGAAAUUUUCGUGCUUAACAUGAGAGCUGCCAUUGAUACUGGGUACCUAGAGUGUAUUUGAUGUGGGCGGAAUGUGUUGUGUAGCGGUGAAAUGCUUAGAUAUGACACAGAACACCGAUAGCGAAGGCAG
rnacentral:rRNA from 1 species